rnacentral:antisense_RNA from 1 species
CUUCAGCGAGCCCAGCAGCAGCGGCCCACGCUCCCCCCGGCCCUGGCCGUAGGUCGCGAGGAUCGCCCCGGCCUC